rnacentral:rRNA from 1 species
UGGAGGUUGUUCCCUUGAGGAGUGGCUUCCGGAGCUAACGCGUUAAGUCGACCGCCUGGGGAGUACGGCCGCAAGGUUAAAACUCAAAUGAAUUGACGGGGGCCCGCACAAGCGGUGGAGCAUGUGGUUUAAUUCGAUGCAACGCGAAGAACCUUACCUACUCUUGACAUCCANNGAANUUAGCAGAGAUGCUUUGGUGCCUUCGGGAACNNUGAGACAGGUGCUGCAUGGCUGUCGUCAGCUCGUGUUGUGAAAUGUUGGGUUAAGUCCCGCAACGAGCGCAACCCUUAUCCUUUGUUGCCAGCGAUUCGGUCGGGAACUCAAAGGAGACUGCCGGUGAUAAACCGGAGGAAGGUGGGGAUGACGUCAAGUCAUCAUGGCCCUUACGAGUAGGGCUACACACGUGCUACAAUGGCGCAUACAAAGAGAAGCGACCUCGCGAGAGCAAGCGGACCUCACAAAGUGCGUCGUAGUCCGGAUCGGAGUCNAAAACUCGACUCCGUGAAGUCGGAAUCGCUAGUAAUCGUGGAUCAGAAUGCCACGGUGAAUACGUUCCCGGGCCUUGUACA